UCCUCUGCGGCGCAAUGGUAGCGCAUCCACCGGCACGCCUCUGGCGUCCGGAUCGGACUGGAAGGUUGGGGGUUCGAGUCUCCCCAGAGGAG